CGCCUUCGGCGUCCGCAUUGUAAUCUCAAGAAGUGUUUUCCGCUUCGGACCAUGCCUAAGUCCCUUGGAAAAGGGCAUCAUAGAGGGUGAUAAUCCCGUACAUGGCAUGGAGCGCCCGAGGCUUUGUGAUACGCUUUCUAAGAGUCGAGUUGUUUGGGAAUGCAGCUCAAAAUGGGUGGUAAAUGCCAUCUAAGGCUAAAUAUUGGGGAGAGACCGAUAGCGAACAAGUACAGUGAUGGAAAGAUGAAAAGAACUUUGAAAAGAGAGUUAAACAGUACGUGAAAUUGCCAAAAGGGAAGGGUAGGAGGUCAGAGAUGCGUCUUGGGAUUCAGCCUUGCUUUUGCUUGGUGUUUUUCCCAAGUUGCAGGCCAACGUCGGUUUUGGGCACUGGAGAAGGGUGGAAGGAACGUGGCACCUCUCGGGGUGUGUUAUAGCCUUCUACUGGAUACAGCGACCGAGACCGAGGACAGCAGCGUACUCGCAAGAGCGGGCCUUCGGGCACCUUUACGCUUAGGGCGUUGGCAUAAUGGC
rnacentral:rRNA from 1 species